GACGAUGUGUGGGAGUAAGCUGAGGUAAAAGGAAGGCGGUGAGCGUUGUGCGGAAUUACUGGGGGUAAAGGGCGUGAAGGCGGCUCUGAAAGUCAGAUGUGAAAGCCCCGGGCUUAACCUGGGAAUUUCAUUUGAUACUCUGGAGCUUGAGUACGGGAGAGGAGAGUGGAAUUCCCAGUGUAGAGGUGAAAUUCGUAGAUAUUGGGAAGAACACCGGUGGCGAAGGCGGCUCUCUGGACCGUAACUGACGCUGAGGCGCGAAAGCGUGGGGAGCAAACAGGAUUAGAUACCCGGGUAGUC
rnacentral:rRNA from 1 species